rnacentral:rRNA from 1 species
GAAUUUUCCGCAAUGGGCGAAAGCCUGACGGAGUGACGCCGCGUGUGGGAUGAAGGCCUUCGGGUCGUAAACCACUGUCAGUGGGAAAGAAGGGUGUCGACGCGAUAACCGUCGGCAUUUGACGGUACCUGCAGAGGAAGCCCCGGCCAACUCUGUCCCAGCAUCCGCGGUAAGACAGAGGGGGCAAGCGUUGCUCGGAAUUCCUGGGCGUAAAGGGCGCGUAGGCGGGAUGGCAAGUCGGUCGUGAAAUCCUUCGGCUCAACCGAAGAACGUCGAUCGAUACUGCUGUCCUAGAGGGUUGCAGAGGAGACUGGAAUUCCCGGUGUAGCGGUGAAAUGUGUAGAGAUCGGGAGGAACACCGGUGGCGAAGGCGGGUCUCUGGGCAAUCCCUGACGCUGAGGCGCGAAAGCGUGGGGAGCAAACGGG